AAAAAAUUCAUUGCAAAAUUAAAUAUAUGUACUUAUCAAACCAUACAGUUUAAUUUCAAAUUUAUAAUUAUUAAAUAUAUUUUUCUUACUAUAUUUAUUCUCUAAUUGAAAUCAAAUUUAUUAAAAAUACCUUUAAAGUGAAGACUGGAGCAAAAAUUUUGAACCCGAACGCUGAAUAAAGGCCGGUAGAACCAACUGUUUCCCAAAAUUGAAGGGAAAUCAAAUUUGUUUUUUUCUGUACCAAGCAAUAAAGGGAGCAUUUCUCUUAAGGUCAAAACGACUAAAGAUUUCUACAGUAAUGAUUGGCCGACUUGUAGGAGCCAUUCUCACUAUUUGGCCUUCUUGUUCAUUGCCUCCUUGAGCUUAGUCCCCAAUGCAUAUGCCAAUGGUGGGGGAACAGCAUUUCCAAUUUGCCGAUGUUUAUGUUGGAUGUUACCAGCAAACUUGUAGCUAUCGGGAAAUCCUUGAGAUCGAGCACAUUCACGAACUGUAAGAAUCCUGUCCUGCUCAGGAUGAAAGCACAUCCCCACCUUACCCAUCGGUUGAGGAUCUGUUAUUGAAGUUGGGAAGUUCCCUUCCCAAUCCAACCUCCCAAAAAGCCCCUUCCACUGAUUAUGCCGCUUAGCUGUGUUUGGCAGGCACCAUGGAAUCAAGUCAACCACUUGCCCAGUAGACAACUUAAUCUUUUCAUCUGGAAGGUCACGCCAAUCAGAACCUGGCUGUUUUGGAAUUUUCUGACACCUAAUAAGAUUCAGCUCAUUCAUUUCUUUUGAUAUAUGGUCUGUCAAAACAGCUGUUUCUCCACGAAUUUUCUUUUGAAACCAUGAGAUAGGAUCAUUUUUAUACUCCAAAAUCGUCUUAGAGGCACCAUUUCCAACAGCUGGGAGAUCACCAAUGGUAUCUCUGACAGUUAUUGCACGGAAAGGGGCUCCACUAGCGGUACUUCGAACAGCAGCAUAAUGUAAAUUUUCUGACAACAUGACUUUUAACUCUGGAGCAGCAAAGACAUGCAUCGGUUCUGGCCACUCAGGAAGAAUCUCAUCAGGGGAGGCAGCCCAUAUGAAUACUCGUUUUCGUGACUGAGAAACUCCAUAUGCUCCAGCUUCCAAUAUGCCAAACCUCACCUGAUAACCCAUCUCAAGGAGUGAAGCCAAAGUCAAACGAAAAGUUUGUCCUUUAUUAAAUGACACAAAGUUCCUCACAUUCUCCAGGAGGAAAUACUUGGGUCGGAAGUAGUCAACAAAGGAUAAAAAUGCUAAAAUCAUCUCACAUUGAACUUUACUCCAAGUGCUUUGACUAAACCUAUUCAUUCCCGAGAAACCUUGACAUGGAGGCCCUCCAUUGAUGAAAUCAACCUGUCCUGGUACAGGCAAAUCAUUGAUUACUUUCUUAUCAAGUGAUGCAGCCAACUCUAUGGCCUCGGUGGUUGAGAUACAUUCAUAUGCAUCACCACACUUCUCCAUUGCAGCCCUAAGGAUCACAUUGCAAUUAUUAAUAAACACUAGAGACGUUGGAUUAUUGAGCUUGAAUGCUUCUCCAGCAGGUUCUUCAUAUUCAAUGGCCCACUUGGUUGAUGAGAUGCCUGCAAUGUUGAAAGCAGCAAAUAGUCAAUCAUAUUACUCAGUUUGACAAAUACAAGGAGAUAAGGAAAGUCACCUGCAUGCUGCAAUCCCUCUGACAAGCCACCACAACCAGCAAAAAUAUCCAAUGUGGCCAACCUUCUCUCUUGAGAUGCUUUUCUUUCUCUUUCAACUUCAUCCUCUCCCUCUUUGCACUUGCCCUUCCUCUUCCUAGAUGCAGCAUCACUUUCUGCAGUCCCAAUUGAGUACCUCAUUUUGAUAUUAGCUGGUAACUGCUUGAGGGACCCUGUGGAAGGAUCAUAAAGAUGCUCACAAAAGAAAAUAUGAUCAAAGAUUGCGACAGCACUACAGGUAGGAAUAUCAUUUUUCUUUCUGACUUCACAUUUCCCUUCGAUAGCCUCAGCAGGUAAAAGAUGCAUAUCCUCACUGUAAUAAAUCUCACGAAUAUCAGAACAAUAUGCCUUCUCAGAUGAGACGUCUUCUGGUCUGAAAAAUCUGCGGACCUUGACCUGGGUGAAUCUUGCUUCAGCUCGUUGUGGUUCCUUUUGGACAAUGAUCUCCAGCAACUGACACACAACAUAAGCCUUCAACCCAACAUUCCUUCCACCCUUAAAAGUUUCAGUCUCCCUUUCGAUGGUGAAGUGAUAUGGACUUGCAUAGACAAAAUCAUUAACAGAAUACUCAAUCCCUAAUAGUACAAAUCGAGUCAUAGAAGAAUUAACUUUGAAAAUGUCCUUUUCCAUUUCAGCUUCCUUUAUUUUGCAAGAGUGGCAGACACCAGAUCCAAGACCCAUUGUAUCAUGGGUGAGACUGAAAAAAGCACCUCUCUCUGGCCAAUACAAACUUCUACAGUAAUAUUCCAGAGGCAAUCCUUUCCUUUUCCUGUCUUCUGCUCUUGCUCUAUCAAUUCUAUCAGUAUUGGCAUUAUCUUUCCUGUGACGAUGUCCCCAAGGCGUUUUGCGAAGUUCCACCACAAUUGCCUGUUUGACAUCCUGCAAGUCAUAAUUCAUGCAUUCAUUUCUCAAGAAAACCUCUCUCUCAUUGGCUGCAUUGCCCAGAACUGUCUGAUGUCCCUGCUGCAUCAUUCUCCCAUGAAACAUUUUGCUUCCAUCUGAUGUUUCAAACAUGUACUCUACAAAAUAGAUCAGAGGAAGUUCAUUUGAUUCAUCAACCUCCACUAAGACAGCACCUCCCACAGCAAUCACCUCGCCACGAACAAUAGCGCUCUUAUAAAUAGCUCCACCAGAAUGCGUUAUGCCUACAGGAUUCCCAUCCCAUUGUACUUUAUCCCUUGAAGAGUAUGAUUUGGUUCGUGAUGACACCAAGCAAGGCUUUUGUGUAUUCUCUGAAAUUAAUAGAUUCUCCUCUUCAGCAUCAUCUUCAUUUUCCUCUUGCUCCUCAAUGCAAUCCUCCUCUUUUGCUUCACAAUUAGUUCCCUCUUUCGUAUCCUCUGGUGAGUAAUUAGAGUAAUAUUCCCCCCAAAUUCUGUUAAUAAGCCUUGUUGUCGUUGCCUGCAUAACCUUCCUCUUGGACACCAUAAGGCCUAUAGGGCCCAUUGCUGCUCGGGGAUUUAAAUUGGGUAGACUCUUCUGCAUAAUGUGUUUUUUUUUCACCACCCAUUUGGUAUGAUGUCUCUCCUCCAUCUUAUUUGUAAGACCAACCACAAAUGCGCAUUUCUUUAUCUUUUCAUCAGGAAAUUCAGCAAAAAGCUGCAGUAUUAUUUGCCCAUGCACAACCACAUAUCUCUCAACAGCUGCUGGAUCAUGAGAAAUGUAACCAUGAUCAUCCUUUUUGAACUCAGAUAUUUUCCUGAUUACAUCUGCAAAAGAAAGCCGUGACACUCGACUUUGUUCUUUCAACAAUGUAAUGAUGCUUCUUGCAAGUUUGGCUGUUUUCAGAACUGGCUUAUACCAUGGAGAAUAUUUAUUUGACGGCUUUCCAAGUCUAUACCAGGCCAUGUCUGUUCGGAUAGAUAUGAAAACCACUGAAGAACCAAAUUCUAUCAUCCACUCCUUUAUUGCACUCAAAAAAAUUGGCAAACCCACAUCAUCCUGUGCCCCUGAACCCCCUGAGGAAGACUGAUCAGGAUCAUUUUCAAGAUGGAACCCACUUCCAUCAUCUUCAGUCAUCCUUCCUGACCCAAAGAUGGUGACAUCUAUAUCUUCACAUGGUUUCAUGGGAAGAAGCUCCAACGAAAUCAAUCUUGAAUCAGAAUUGUAAAGAGACCAAUUAUGGAGCAUUCUUUUUGGAAGAUCAUCAGGGUCAACCAUGAUAUGCUCAUCACUGUCAAUAGCUACAUAUUCAUCAGUUUCUUCAUCAGAAUGUGAGUAAAAUGCAGGCAAAGGGUAGUCGUUAGCAAUCUCAUCUUCAUUGAUUUUUAUGUAGAUUGUAUUUGAUGAUGAAGCUGAACCCUUACUUUUCUUUUGCUUCUUUGUAGAUUGCCAAUACUCUUCUUCUUGCAAUAGUCUCGCUAGUUUUGCAUCUUCAUCCUCCUCAGCUCCACUGGAGGAUGAAUUAGAUAGUAACAUAGUUGACUCUGUGCCUCCAACUUUUGGACAUAUUGUCAAAUUCCCACAAGAGCUUGCUGCUUUUGCCAGUACAUAAUUUCCAUGCUUGCGACUCUUGUCUUUCAAGGCAAGAAGAACAGGCAAGUCUGCAAAUUUCUGGUCAUUCUUCUUUGAUGUGUCAUCUAAUCCUAUUAGUUGAUUAUAAAUGAAUUCACCAUGAGAAAUGACAAAAUCCUUAAUGGAUGCUGCACCUGAAAAACACUUGCGUCCAGUCAUUGAUCGAACAACCCCUGCAAGCAACUCAUCAAGAGUGAUAUCAGGAUUCCCUCCAGAAGAUUUUGAUAGUUUCUUGUACACCUCUAUACAAGUGUAAGCCUUCUCAAAGAAACGAUCAUAGAACUUCUUGUAGCUACUUGCAGGUCUUAGGCAAUCAUAAUCAGCAAUAUCUGUUGUAAGCCAUACAACUGGAGAGCCAUCUUCAUAACCAGAUAUGCUCCACCCUUCUAUCCUUCCAAAGCCUUCACAUCUAAUACAUUUUUCCUUUUCCUGCUCAGGACUCCCCUCAAGAGGCAAUAUAAGACCAGAUAUAAACAUAUCAUCAACUUCAAUCAUCUCAAGGGGGCGUGGCAUGCCAUUUGCAUCAUGCACAACAAAAUCAGUUAGUCUCCUAUUUGGACGACCUUCUUCUUGUUCAUGUGUGAGGUGAAUAGCUAUAAUCUCUUCAUCUGCAAAUUGUUCAUUCUUUGAUUCAAGAACGGAAGACUUUUCAGACAAAGGUACCAAUUUCUCCUUGAAAUCUGUGCAUGCAGCAGCUCGCUUUGGCCUUUUUCGGGAGACAGCAGGCUCUUCAAUCCUGUGAGAAGAAGUUUGCUUUCUUCUUUUCGCGUUGUUUUUUAGUUCCUUGCUUUCCUUAGAAACCGAGGAUUUUGUUUUUCCUUUGGUCUUCUUCAUUCCUGAUUCCGAGUCGGAAGCAUUGGAGAGUGGUGAAUCCAAUAGCGCUGAAGAUCCCAUUAUUUUUUCAAUUGAACACAAUCCUCCUUUUACUAUUAUUGUGUUGGUGUGUUUUCUUUCCAAUAUUUGGAAGUAGAAGCACAAAUAUAACCCAGUAAAGAGUAGAGAAAGAGACCUGAGAUCAAAGCGAAGACACUAUUUAUUUAAUCGAACACACAAGUUGAAACAAAUACCCAAAACUCGUCUAAGCUGCCAAAUGGGUAUAUGUUUCUAUCUCAUUUCAAAUAUAAUCCACAUAACUAUUAGAAAAAGACGAAAUGAGCGGGAAUAUGAAAAAAUUUGGCGCCCAUGGCCUUUUCAUUUGCAAAAUCCAACACGCAAGCCCGUGGUUGGACUUGGAACAGCGGUCCCCAUAU
rnacentral:misc_RNA from 1 species